ACUGCGUAAAUAAUUUUUUUAUAGCGUAAACGUAAAAUAAAUUCUUACAUACAGUAGUACAGAUAACUAGAGUAUGAAAUUUAAUUUACAAUAACAAAUGGGCCCCCUCGAAUAAAUAAAAGUAAAGAGGAUUAUGAACUACAGUUUGGAGGAAGUAAAUCCAAUGAUAGUCCUCGAUGAGAUCAGCUAUCUACAGCCUAUUCUGAGCCUAAAAUGGAUGGAAAGGGGGAUGGUAAGAUUAUAAAAUCUCAGUGAGUAAACAGACAUCAUCAUAAACAUCUAGAGUUGAGUACAUAGAGACGAUCAAGUAAAUCAUCGUAAACUGGGUCACAGCAUUAGAACACAUUUAAUUCAAAAUACGUAAAGAGGCUUAUGAAUCUCAUAAAACUAGACUUAUGCCAUAAAUCCAUUCUCGAGGACACCUUGGUCGAGGCAUCCUACUGAGACCGCCAAGGCUAUUAAAGAUUCACAUCUCGCAUAAAUCAUGUUUUAUUUUGAAAACAUAGCCGUUCCUUGGCUUUGGCUGAGUUUCCCCUCACGUGGUGGUUUGGCGUGAAGUGAACCAUAAGCUUGACCCCAGGAGAUACCCUACGCGCCUCUUCGUUUGAGGUUAGAAUAUAAUGUGGUUUAUCGUGCCCCUCUAAAAGGCUGGUUCAUAGAAACCCCCUACUAUAGUAAUUAAUUAAUAUAUAAUCCACCAAUUCAAUAAAAUUUGCAAUAGCAUGACAUGACAAUUAUUUUAUUCAUAGCCUUUCAAGGUAAACAAAUAAUCCGUAUUUCAAUACAAUUGCCAACCAGCCAAUCAUGCCUGAUUUAUCAUAAGCUAAUCAAUUUAAACAAUCGAAUUUCAACAAUUAACAGUCUCCGUGUACUCUAUUUUUUAACAUCAUUAUUAAUUUCAAAAUAAUUUAUAAAUUAAUUUCAUUGAAACACAUUUAUUCAUAAACACAAAAAUUUACCUUUUUAAAUCCCUUUUUCCAUAGAAUUCAUGAAAUCAUUUAAAAAUCACCCUAAAUAAUUAAAAUGACAGUAAGUUUACUCACAAUGUCUAGAGUGCAAAUUUUUGAAAUACUCAGACUACUGGUCCUCAGGUGCAAUUUCCUUACCUUUAUCGGAGGACUCACCACCUUGACACAGUACCAAAAUCAAGAAACUUACUACAUUAGUACUAAAUCGAAAUUAAACUAAUUUAGACUACUAAUGCAUGAUAAGGAAUGCAAAAUGCACUAGUAACCAUCUAAAUUCGGUAUCGGCUUAAUUCGUCUUUUCACCCGAUUAAUUGGCCAAUACGUCCAAUUUAGCUCCAAAUUGCUCCAUUUCUUUUCCAAUAUCUUAAUUCACCAAACACAAGUCAAAUAACCUAAAAUUUGACAAAACUAUCUUCACUUUUCUACUUGGAAUUUUUAAUCAAUAAUGGUGCAUUAACACCAUGAUUUUCCCUACUAUUUUUCCACACAAUAAUUCAUCAUUUUCUAACCAAUUCUCUUAAAAUAAAAUCAAAUUCAUCCUCACCCAAUACAAGGUAGGUUCGGCCAUUGAUGGGUGAUGGGGACAAUGAAUUCUUUUCUUGUUGUUUUGUUUCUAGACAUGGUAAACUAGCUAAAAACACUAACAUAACUUAAAAUCAAAUCAAUCCAACAUCAUUCUCUCUCCAUACCCAUUCGGCCAGCCAUGAAUUCACCAUGAAAACAUACAAUUCAACCAUGGAAAUUAAGGAGAAAUGCAUGGGUAAGGUAAAUCACUAGCAAAAUCAAAGAAAUUUUACCUUUGCUUGAUCAAAUCCUUGAAUUCCAACACUUUCUCUUUGAUUUUCCCCACCUAGGGUUUGUUCUUCCUUGGUUUCUCUUCUCUUCUGGUUU
rnacentral:lncRNA from 1 species